UGGUUACUGGCUGACCCAGUACAGAAGCCCUCCCCAGACGCCAGCACCUUGAUAAUGGACGCUCAAGCUCAGGAACUUUGAGAAGGAAAUGACGUUUCUCCGCUCACUACUCUGCCUGUGGUAUUCUCUAAUGGCGGCACGGGGAGGCGCUACAGGAAGAGGAAGCAGGACCCCGGGCUGGGAGGUCUCAGGUGUACAUGAAACAAGGAGACAAGAGCUUUGGAUAUUUUAGCCUCCCGAGCAAGAAUCUGCCAGAGAGAGAUGACUCCAUUCUAGAUGCAUCAACACGACAGACUUCCAAGCUUGCUAGAUCACAAGUUCACCCCAGGAAGAGAAAGCCCAUGACAAUGGUGGGCCAGAGGAGGAUACACACUGGAAGGAUAUACAUUCCUUACUGUGUCAUCUCCCGUGCAUUGUCAUCUGGAAAAUGGCACACGGUGUUGUUAUAAGCAUUAAAAAGGCUGCAAGUGUAAA